GACGAACGCUGGCGGCGUGCUUAACACAUGCAAGUCGAACGGAAAGGCCCUGCUUUUGUGGGGUGCUCGAGUGGCGAACGGGUGAGUAACACGUGAGUAACCUGCCCUUGACUUUGGGAUAACUUCAGGAAACUGGGGCUAAUACCGGAUAGGAGCUCCUGCUGCAUGGUGGGGGUUGGAAAGUUUCGGCGGUUGGGGAUGGACUCGCGGCUUAUCAGCUUGUUGGUGGGGUAGUGGCUUACCAAGGCUUUGACGGGUAGCCGGCCUGAGAGGGUGACCGGCCACAUUGGGACUGAGAUACGGCCCAGACUCCUACGGGGGGCAGCAGUGGGGAAUAUUGCACAAUGGGCGGAAGCCUGAUGCAGCAACGCCGCGUGCGGGAUGACGGCCUUCGGGUUGUAAACCGCUUUCGCCUGUGACGAAGCGGGAGUGACGGUAAUGGGUAAAGAAGCACCGGCUAACUACGUG
rnacentral:rRNA from 1 species